rnacentral:antisense_RNA from 1 species
GUGGUGGCUGCGCUUGCGAGGACCCUGAGGUAGGUUGGGUGGUUUCAGCAGGAACGCAUCCACUGUCUGAGUUUAAACUUGGUUUUGUGGGGGGACGAACAGCGUGACAAUUAAAGAAGAUGUAGGAAUCAAAAGCUUCCUGAGGCCUACAACCAGAAGCAGAUGCUGGUGCCAUGCUUCUACAGCCUGCAGAACUCAUCACCGCUCUUGCACUCCGAGCCAUUAUUAAGUAAAGAACACAAACACUGUGAUACCGCUACACUUGAUCUGAUAACCAAGAAGUCUACUAAGUGACUAACAGUUAAUAUUUUUGGACAUGAGGUGACUGCAGGUAACUAAAACCAUGGAAAGCAAAACCAUAGAUAAAGGGAUACUAUGCAGAGCAACUGGGAACCUAAUUCUGACCAACAAGGAGGAAUUGUUUGGCUAAUUGGAAGUGACAGAAACCUUGGGAGAAAGCAACCGCAUACCAAGGAUAAUUGUAAGAAGAAGAGAAGACAUGGAGAAGAGGAGGGGAUAGUUGUGACUGUGGAGGCAGAGAAUGGAGUAAUGUGAUCAUAAAUCAAGGAAUGCUGACAGCCACUAAAGCUGGAGAAGGCCAAGGACAGAUUUCCAAUCCUCCCGCAGAAGUACAGCCCUGCUAAUGCAUUGAUUUUGGACUUCUGGCCUCAGAACUGUAAGAGAAUAAAUUUCUAUUGUUUUAAACCAUC